rnacentral:SRP_RNA from 1 species
CCGUGCUAGACGGGGAGUUGGCGGUGCCCUGUAACCCGCAAUCCGCCAUAGCGGGGUUGAAUUCCUGCCUGAGGUUUGAUUUGGUAAGGUCUGCCUUGUAAAAAUAGCGAUGAAAAACUGGGUCCUGCGCAAUGGUACCUAUGAAUCUGGUCAGGUCCGGAAGGAAGCAGCCAUAAGUAGCCACUACUAUGUGCCGCGGGGAAGCCUAGUUUGAGCUAACUUUUACAAGUAACGCUUGGUUGUUCUCAUCAAAGGCAGGUGCACGG